CCAAAAGACUCAAAGAUGCAGGUCCCACCUGUAGAGACGAAACGUGUUUCUGCUGCCCCCUGGAGCUUCAACCAUGUGCAGCGAUGGCUCUCUUGGUGGCAUCAAAGGAGUAAUUGGGAGCGGCACAGAUGUUGUUGAGGUCUUCAUAUCCGGAGGGGCCUGACAGAGACUGCCAGCUCUGGCCUGCAGGGGGUGAUAGUGGUCUGCUUGCUGUAUUGAAACGACGCUAAAGUGCGUCGGUCGUCCAACGUUGGCGCCAGAUGAGCUGUGGCGCCAGCAAUACACAGAGGCAGAGAGAGAGAGAGGAAGACACAUAGCAGCCUGCAAAGCCCUUUCUCAACCCUGAGUUUGAAGCAUAUAAACGACACAUUUUUUUUUCUCUCGUUCUUCAGCAAUUAAAAAGUAAAAGGACAUAAGAGCUGUUUCUGCCGUGGGACGUGUGUCUUGCCUGGAUUGCUGUGUAAGUAGAACGCAUCCUUUCCCGGGCUUUUCGCGCAGCAUUAAUCGCCCUCACGGUUAGCCAUCUUUGUUUCAGCUAGCCAACUACUGGUUGGAAGUGCCGUGUGGCUCUUAGCGUGCUAACCUACUUACCAUUAGCCUACGACGUUGCUAUUCGUCGCUACUGCCUAUUUUACGAGGAUUUAAUACGAACGAAAUACUGUCAUACGUGAGUUUUACAAGCUGUGUGUGUUUUUGACUUACUGCGACAGCGCUUCUGGGCCAUUCAAUAUGUUAUGGAGGGCGGAAGCUAACGCUGCUAACUAGCUAGCGGCAGCCAUCUUAGGCGAGCAUGUAAUCUUGGCUAGCUGGAAGUGCUGGUGUGGCACAACAAGAUGGCCUGUUAAUACUCGCACAAGGAGAUUUUUCACGUCGAUCGAAGAUUCAUAAAUAACACAAUAUUACCCAUUUCGAAUAAUGUGU